rnacentral:tRNA from 1 species
GCCAGCAUGGUGUAGUGGUCUGAAUGUUGGACUACAACUCUGGAGACCAGGGUUCAAUUCCCAGCUCUGCCA